GAACUGCGAUACGCAAUGUGAAUUGCAGGACCCGCGAGUCAUCAGAUCUUUGAACGCAUUUAGCUCGAGAGGGAAACUCCCCCUCGAAUGUGUGUCUCAGUGUUGAACUCAUUACUCCUAGUGCGGUUGAACGACGUUCUCCCGCGAAAUAGGAGCGACUUGCGCUCGGACACGUGAAGUAGUCUCCGCUUCGGCGGCGAUCUCUCGUGCCCCGAGUGAGAAGCCGCAGAGCCCUAGCGCUUUGAAAAUAACUUAAACCUGAGACAGGCAGGACUACCCGCUGAACUUAA
rnacentral:misc_RNA from 1 species